AAACCUUUUGUUAACUCAAUUGGUUUUGCUUUGGUAUUGGAGGUCUAUUGCAGCUUCACACCUGCUCCUCUUUGUGCAUUAGCUGGAUCUCAGUGUUAUGCUUGGUUCCACUCAGCGUGAUAA
rnacentral:rRNA from 1 species